rnacentral:rRNA from 1 species
GGCGGCGUGCCUAAUACAUGCAAGUCGAGCGAACUGACGAGGAGCUUGCUCCUUUGACGUUAGCGGCGGACGGGUGAGUAACACGUGGGUAACCUACCUAUAAGACUGGAAUAACUCCGGGAAACCGGGGCUAAUGCCGGAUAACAUAUCGAACCGCAUGGUUCGAUAGUGAAAGACGGUCUUGCUGUCACUUAUAGAUGGACCCGCGCCGUAUUAGCUAGUUGGUGAGGUAACGGCUCACCAAGGCAACGAUACGUAGCCGACCUGAGAGGGUGAUCGGCCACACUGGAACUGAGACACGGUCCAGACUCCUACGGGAGGCAGCAGUAGGGAAUCUUCCGCAAUGGGCGAAAGCCUGACGGAGCAACGCCGCGUGAGUGAUGAAGGUCUUCGGAUCGU